rnacentral:rRNA from 1 species
GUAGGUGGCAAGCGUUGUCCGGAAUUAUUGGGCGUAAAGCGCGCGCAGGCGGUUCUUUAAGUCUGAUGUGAAAGCCCACGGCUCAACCGUGGAGGGUCAUUGGAAACUGGAGAACUUGAGUACAGAAGAGGAAAGCGGAAUUCCACGUGUAGCGGUGAAAUGCGUAGAGAUGUGGAGGAACACCAGUGGCGAAGGCGGCUUUCUGGUCUGUAACUGACGCUGAGGCGCGAAAGCGUGGGGGAGCAAACAGGAUUAGAUACCCUGGAAGUCCACGCCGUAAACGAUGAGUGCUAAGUGUUAGGGGGUUUCCGCCCCUUAGUGCUGCAGCUAACGCAUUAAGCACUCCGCCUGGGAGUACGGCCGCAAGGCUG